CGGGGGACGGACUGGGAAC
rnacentral:snRNA from 1 species